rnacentral:rRNA from 1 species
CCGAUAGUGGGGGAUAACCUGGGGAAACCCAGGCUAAUACCGCAUACGUCCUACGGGAGAAAGGGGGCUUUGGCUCCCGCUAUCGGAUGAGCCUAUGCCGGAUUAGCUGGUUGGUGAGGUAAUGGCUCACCAAGGCGACGAUCCGUAGCUGGUCUGAGAGGAUGAUCAGCCACAUCGGGACUGAGACACGGCCCGAACUCCUACGGGAGGCAGCAGUGGGGAAUAUUGGACAAUGGGGGCAACCCUGAUCCAGCCAUGCCGCGUGUGUGAAGAAGGCCCUCGGGUUGUAAAGCACUUUCAGCGAGGAAGAACGCCUAUCGGUUAAUACCCGGUAGGAAAGACAUCACUCGCAGAAGAAGCACCGGCUAACUCCGUGCCAGCAGCCGCGGUAAUACGGAGGGUGCAAGCGUUAAUCGGAAUUACUGGGCGUAAAGCGCGCGUAGGUGGCUUGAUAAGCCGGUUGUGAAAGCCCCGGGCUCAACCUGGGAACGGCAUCCGGAACUGUCAAGCUAGAGUGCAGGAGAGGAAGGUAGAAUUCCCGGUGUAGCGGUGAAAUGCGUAGAGAUCGGGAGGAAUACCAGUGGCGAAGGCGGCCUUCUGGACUGACACUGACACUGAGGUGCGAAAGCGUGGGUAGCAAACAGGAUUAGAUACCCUGGUAGUCCACGCCGUAAACGAUGUCGACCAGCCGUUGGGUGCCUAGCGCACUUUGUGGCGAAGUUAACGCGAUAAGUCGACCGCCUGGGGAGUACGGCCGCAAGGUUAAAACUCAAAUGAAUUGACGGGGGCCCGCACAAGCGGUGGAGCAUGUGGUUUAAUUCGAUGCAACGCGAAGAACCUUACCUACCCUUGACAUCCUGCGAACUUGUGAGAGAUCACUUGGUGCCUUCGGGAGCGCAGAGACAGGUGCUGCAUGGCUGUCGUCAGCUCGUGUUGUGAAAUGUUGGGUUAAGUCCCGUAACGAGCGCAACCCUUGUCCUUAUUUGCCAGCACGUAAUGGUGGGAACUCUAAGGAGACUGCCGGUGACAAACCGGAGGAAGGUGGGGACG